UGCAAGGAGACGGCAGCCCUUUGGAUAGAUCAUUUGUCCGAUUAGCUGUUGCAUUAAUAAACAAAUGCAAGAAAACUUGUGUCUAUAUGCACUUAUAUUUCUUCUACCUGUACAUAAUAGGUUUACAUAAUGAUUUACAUACACAUGAUGUGGUGAAAUAUAAUUGAAUUAAAAUUUCUUCAACCAAAAUUUAAAAAAAAUAAAAAAAAUCUCUUUCUUUUUAACACAUCAUUUGUAUAUAAACUAUUAUAUAACUACUUAUCUCAUCAUCUAUAAAGCAAAAAUAUAUGCCCCAAUUGGUCCCCUUUUUUGAAACUUAUUUUAUCUCAAAGUAAUUUUCAAUCACACGUUUUAUGGGAUCCAAAACUUUUAUUAAAUUUUCAAUCACACAUUUCAUCAAUUUUUAUCAAAAUCUACUAAAAAUCUAAUUUUUAACUAAACCAAAUACGUAGGAGUUUUUAUGCUAUAGCGCUAUUACAUACUUAAGACAACCAUAUAAAACUAAUUAAUCUACAUAGUUAGUAGUAGGCUCUUAAUGACCAAGUUCAUCUACUAGUUGAUGUAACACAUCAAUAACAAGUAU
rnacentral:lncRNA from 1 species